UCUGCAAAGUGUCCUUGGAUAACCAGGAGGGAUGGCCUUGUGUUGGAGAUGUCGGGGCCACGUUUCAUGCUUGUGUCCCGGAAGGCAGAUACACGUGGGGGAAGAAUCCUGUUCUCUGCCAGAAAUACUCAUGUCGAGUGAUUAACAUUAAAGUGGGCUCACAACUCUUCAUUCUUUCCAUUAUACCAAAAGAAGGGGAUGGAGUUUGGGUAGCAGAGGUGGAAGAAGGAGGGGGAGAGAGGAGGGAGAGGAGGCAGAGCUGCCUGCUUUAUUUUUCUUAUUCCUGGAGCAGGCUGGCAGAGCCUGUCCCUAACAGACAGCAGGCAGCAGGCGAGAACACAGGCUAAAUGAAAAGACAACUUGGGCCCUUUCCCUCCCUGCUUCUGGCUCACUCUCUGUCUUUCUGUCUCUCUAUCUCUGAUUCAGGAGACAAAUCCUGGGGGACUCCUAGGGCCUGCUGUGCUUCCCGUGAGUUUCAUGGGGUGGGUAUGAUUUUGUUUCUUCUCAUUUUAGACUGAGCUUGGGCUCUCUCAUGCCCAGUUACUGAGUGUGGCUUUGGUUCUCUUUGGGGCACCCGGGGUGAGUAGAGAGCCCACAUUUCUCUCUCAUUCUUCCAGAGCCCAGCUAGUGUUCGAUGGGCUGCCAGUCCUCUGUGGGGAAUCUUCAAAGGGCCAGGGCCCCUCCUCCCAACCAUGUCCAAAAGGAUCCAAAUAACUUUAAUUUCUACAUGUUCACCUUCCUAUCAGUUCUUUCUGGAGUAUCAUUGUCUUCAGGGGCAUUUUUGUUACUGAGUAGCUGAAAGUUCCUGGGCCCUGUGACCUGAUGUAGCCUUUUUGCCACAGUGGGAUGAGGGCCGUUGAUCUCCCUUUACAAAUGGAAUCACUAAGGCUCACGAACAGUGUUAACAGCCAAGUCUGGAUUUGUACACAGUUCGUGCCUUCUCUGGUGUGGGGCUCUUUCCCAGGGGCUGCAUGCCCUGCCUGCCCUUCCUCUGGGUUUCUUGCUUUCCCCUAACAUCCACUCACAUGGACAUUUUCAGGCUUCAAGCCCACUGUCUUGUGAUCUUAAUGGCCACAUGAUGUCCCAUUAUGUUGCUGGACUGCCACUUUGGUCCCUCUUUCAUUGUUGGGUAAGUGAGAGGCAUCUAAUUUCUUAUAUAAUAAAUGCAACUACCAUUCAUUUUCAAAUUACAUCCAUUGUCUUUUUCAUCCCCAGUAUGUUCCAGGAGUAGGUUCAGGAUUGGCAGGUGGGCUCUGCCUCUCAACCAGGGUUGGGGUGGUGGUCAGUGCUUGGUAUCUUGACCCGGAGUAUGAUCAAUGCACUUUAGGAGGGGAAUGGUGUCAAGGACACAAUGGGAAGCUGAAGGAGAGGAGGGAGAAGAAGGGAAAGGGAUGUCUUUUGGGGGAUAUUUCCCUUCACUGUCAUUUCUUUAAGCCUGUCAUUCUGGAGGGGAAGGAAAAACGAGGUGUGCCUCCACCCAGAAGAGGUUACAACCACCACUUUAGGAGCUGGCAUGCUGGUGCAGUGUAUAUUCUGUGUGUGUUCUACCAGGUAGAGCCUAGACCCACGUCACUGAUAACAGCACAGCUCAGCUCAGCUCGGCAUUUCUCUGAGCCACCACCACAUUAAAAACCCAAGGGCUGAAGUGACCCAGAGUAUAAAUCUCCCUCAAACAUUGGCCAGGAAAUUUAACAUUAGCUGAAUGGCCAAUGUAUCAAUAGCUGGCUUAACACGGAACUACUAAUGCAUUUCCCAAAACAGGUAACAAGAUUUAGAGACUGAACAUGGUUAAAAGGGAUAACCAUAAAGUUCAGUCUUUAGCCAUAACACAUCUGUUUGGUGUAAAGCAUACAUUUUAUGAACAGGGAGGGUAAUUUGAGAAAAGGGAUCAACUUUAGGAAGAGACCCUUAUUUCAGUCCAGUUGAAGAGAGUCUUGUGGUUCAGGUGGCAGAUGGGGAUGGGAAUGCGUCUGGGGUGUGAGGCUCUUAUGAGGUGGCAAAGGAGGGAAGCAGAGGACACUGGUCACUGUGGAGGGAUGAGGAAGGGGCAGAUCCUCCCAAUCCAGGGGAAAGUGAAGGCACAGAGCAGGAAGGGACAUGCCUGGGGUCAGGAUUGGAUUCCUGUGGAGUUCCAAGGAUCUGAGCCAAGCUGCCUCCUGGUUUUGCAAAGCAUGGAUAUUAAUAAGGGUGAUUAGUAAUCAUGACGUGUGAAUAAUAAGGGGAUGGUUAAUUGUCCUGGUUAUGAUGAACAGCAGUCACUGGGAGAUGGUGGGGGAGUUGGGACCCCCCAACACACACAUAGUCACAUGUGAACUGUUCUUGGCUGCUGCUUAUAAGUCCACAAAGCCGGCAAUGUAAAGGGGUACCAGUAUUUUUAAAAAUGGAACCUAAUAAGGCAGAAUUUUAAAAUUCAUUUGUAAUUUCCUCCUAUAUAAUAUGAAAGCAUAUGUUCCCAGCAGAAAAUUUAGAAAAUACGGAAAUACCAAGGAAGAAAACAAAAACCAGUAUAAAUACCUUGAUGGAUAUAUCUUCUUCGUCUUCUGUGUGUAUAUAAACAUAAACUAUUUUUCAAAAUAGAACAAAACACAAUUAGGAUUAUAUUCUGCAUGGUAUUUGGUAACUUGAUUUUUUUUUUUUAACUUACAAACAUUCAUGUGUACUUCUCCAUGGGAUUAUCUUUGAGAAUAUGAUCUUUGUUUUAUGAGGGGAACAAUAUUUUGGGCAAGGAGGAGCCCAUUCAAAAAGAAGUGCAUCCUUUCCUGUCUCCUCUGGGUGGAGAGGCGGGGGAUCAUCUUUAGGACUAUGGGAGGGAAGUACCAUGGGGCAGGCUAGCUCAGUGGACCCCUGUGGAUCAGGAAAUGGGCAAGGAAGGGGGCAGUGCAGUGACAGACCCUGAGCAUGGAGGAGGAAAGUACCUUCUGAAAACAUACAGUUUUUUUUUUCAUACUCAGUUGAAAAUAGACAAAGCCAGAUCCUUCAUUGGGCAGAACUAGGGCCCAGUGCCAAUGUUAGUACAUGGUCUUGCAGAAAUCCUGAGCCUCAGUUUUUCCAUCUGAAUGUAGAAGAAACAGUGCCUACCUCUGGCCCACCUCCUGGAGGUCUUUCAUCAAGGACUGAGACAAGACUCCCCUUAAGACUUUGAAGAUCAUUGAGCCUGGAGCUCCCAUGAAAGGGAAAGAAAGCCAAUCUCUGGGGAGGGGACAACUGCGAGAAGGUGCAUCCUCUUUAGGGGGCUGACUUUCCUCAUGUAGGCUGUGGAGCUGCACUUGGCAGGGUCUGGUAUCCUUCCAGUUCCUUCCAGUUCUGAACUCCAACUUCCUCUAAUAAGCCACAUUGGGCCUAGCUAUAGGGAGCUUCCAGACACCUGGCUUGUUCCAGGGUGAGGGAGGAUCAAUAAUGCUGCUGCUUCAGGGGUCCUGUUCUUGAGAAGAAGCUUACAGGUGGAGCCACAGACUGUCCCAUGGUUGGACCACCGUGGAAAGAGCAUUUUCUGGUUUGACCGAAAUGAGGGAUUGUUAUUUCACCCUUCCUAAAAAUGGGAAAGCACAUGACAAUGAUCGUUGGCCUGACCUCAAGGGCUUUCCCACUGACACCAUUCUGCUCAGCUCCACAGAGCUCUGAGGCAUCUACCUCUACCUCUGCAUUGCUUGGCACUCACCUCCCCAGCAUUUGUGGACUGAAUGAGAGGGACACCAUAGGACCACUCCUAUACAUACUUGGCACUUUAUUAUUCCUGUGCAAUUGCCAUUCAUUAUUCAUCCACCUUAUGAAUGAGAUUUAUCCACUAUCUAUUUCAUGAAUAGCAUUCCCACUACCUGCUGGCUCUGUGGCCACCCACAAGGUGCUUCACCUCUUAGUCCUCAAUGUCCUCAUCUGUAAAAUGAGGCUACUAUAAUGGUACCUAUCUUGUAAUAUUGAUGGCAGGAAUAAAAUGAAAUAGUAAAUGUAUAUCAUCAUCACUGCUACUUCUGUCCUGUGUCAGGCACUGUGGAUAAAGAGGUGACUAAGAUGCUGGCUCAGUUGGUAGAGCAUGCGACUCUUGAUCCCUGGGUUGUGAGUUCAAGCCCUACGUUGGGUGUAAAAGAUUACUUUAAGAAAGAAUCUCAGAGAGAGAGAGACAGAUGACUAAGAGGCCUAAAACACCAAUCCUGCUCUCAGGGAGCACAAAAUCAGCUGCAGAAGAGCCCUCAGGUCUGGGAACACAAAGAAGAGUGCCUCCUUCCAGCGACGCUGCGUAUUUUCUUCUGACCUUAAUGGCCCCGGUUUCCCCUCAGUAUUUAAGCGGAACAAGACAGAGGUAAGUGGCAAAUAAACAGCGGUUCCUAUUUACGCUGGCAAUUUCUGUUGAUCGUGGAGAGGCUGCCUUGAAAUUAACUCUGCGGCUGUCUGCUGCGGAGGAAUGUCUGCCACGCACUGAGGGCCAUCGGCUCACUGCCGCCCAUUACAGCCCCUCCCGGUUAUCCGCCUGGGUUACAAUGGAGUGGGUGGGUGGGUGCGGUCAGCUGGUGCCCCAAGGUGUUCCUUCUUUCUUUUUUUUAAAAAAACAGGCCCCUUCACCUUCUUGGCCUUGGCCUUUAGCCUCUAGAGACCCGUGGUUGUCCCAGUGUGGUCUUGGCCAGCAGUAUCAGCGUCUUUCACCAGGAACUUGGUAGAAAUUCAAAUUCUCCAACCAUCAUGUCCCAGAAAACUCUGGGGGUAGGAUCCAGCAAUCUGUUAUAUAUAUUUUUUUAACUUUAUUGAGGUAUAAUUCACAUACCAUAAAGUUUACCUGUUUUAAGCAUACUGUUCGAUGACUUUUUAAUAAGUUUAUUGAGUUAGGCAACAAUCCUCUGAACCCAGUUGUAGAACAUUUCUAUAACCCCACUAAAAUCCCUAGUGUCUGUUUACAGUUAAUCCCUUACCCACCCCAGCCCUAGGCAACCACUAAUCUACUUUGUGUCUCCAUAGAUUUGUUCUGGAGGAUCUUUUGAAUCUGGCUUCUUUUACUUAGCAUAAUGUUUUGUUAAUUGUUAACAGCUUUAUUGAGAUAUAAUCCACAUUACCAUACAACUCAUCCAUUUAAAGUGUACAAUUCAAUGGCUUUUUAGUACAUUCACAGUUGUGCAACCAUCACCGCUAUCAAUUUUAGAACAUUUUCGUUACCCCAAAAAGAAGCCCCAUACUCCUUAGUUGUCACCUCCAAAUCCCCCCAUCCCUUCACCCAAGCAAUCGGUAAUCUACUUUCUGUUUCUAAUACAUUUGUCUAUUUUGGAUAUUUUAUAUAAAUAGAAUCAUAUAAAACGUG